UACGUAGGGGCCUAGCGUUGUUCGGAUUCAUUGGGCGUAAAGGGUGCGUAGGUGGCGCCAUAAGUCAGGUGUGAAAUCUCGGGGCUCAACCUCGAAACUGCACUUGAUACUGUGGUGCUUGAGUACUGGAGAGGAGAUUGGAAUUUACGGUGUAGCAGUGAAAUGCGUAGAUAUCGUAAGGAAGACCAGUGGCGAAGGCGAAUCUCUGGACAGAUACCGACGCUGAGGCACGAAAGCGUGGGGAGCAAACAGG
rnacentral:rRNA from 1 species